AGAGUUUGAUCCUGGCUCAGAUUGAACGCUGGCGGCAUGCCUUACACAUGCAAGUCGAACGGCAGCGCGGGAGCAAUCCUGGCGGCGAGUGGCGAACGGGUGAGUAAUACAUCGGAACGUGCCCAAUCGUGGGGGAUAACGCAGCGAAAGCUGUGCUAAUACCGCAUAAGAUCUACGGAUGAAAGCAGGGGAUCGCAAGACCUUGCGCGAAUGGAGCGGCCGAUGGCAGAUUAGGUAGUUGGUGAGGUAAAGGCUCACCAAGCCUUCGAUCUGUAGCUGGUCUGAGAGGACGACCAGCCACACUGGGACUGAGACACGGCCCAGACUCCUACGGGAGGCAGCAGUGGGGAAUUUUGGACAAUGGGCGAAAGCCUGAUCCAGCCAUGCCGCGUGCAGGAUGAAGGCCUUCGGGUUGUAAACUGCUUUUGUACGGAACGAAA
rnacentral:rRNA from 1 species